CUGCCAGUAGUCAUAUGCUUGUCUCAAAGAUUAAGCCAUGCAUGUCUCAGUACAAGCCAUAUUAAGGUGAAACCGCGAAAGGCUCAUUAAAUCAGUUAUGGUUCCUUAGAUCGUACCCACAUUUACUUGGAUAACUGUGGUAAUUCUAGAGCUAAUACAUGCAAACAGAGCUCCGACCGGAGACGGAAGGAGUGCUUUUAUUAGAUCAAAACCAAUCGGCGGCAAUUUAGGUAACUUUAUUGUUCGUCGCACUUUUUGGUGACUCUGAAUAACUUUUGGCUGAUCGCACGGUCUCGCACCGGCGACGCAUCUUUCAAAUGUCUGCCUUAUCAACUGUCGAUGGUAGGUUCUGCGCCUACCAUGGUUGUAACGGGUAACGGGGAAUUAGGGUUCGAUUCCGGAGAGGGAGCCUGAGAAACGGCUACCACAUCCAAGGAAGGCAGCAGGCGCGCAAAUUACCCACUCCCGGCACGGGGAGGUAGUGACGAAAAAUAACGAUACGGGACUCAUCCGAGGCCCCGUAAUCGGAAUGAGUACACUUUAAAUCCUUUAACAAGGACCAAUUGGAGGGUAAGUCUGGUGCCAGCAGCCGCGGUAAUUCCAGCUCCAAUAGCGUAUA
rnacentral:rRNA from 1 species